UGGCGGACGGGUGAGUAACGCGUGGGUAACCUGCCUUGUACUGGGGGACAACAGUUAGAAAUGACUGCUAAUACCGCAUAAGCGCACAGUAUCGCAUGAUACAGUGUAAAAAACUCCGGUGGUACAAGAUGGACCCGCGUCUGAUUAGCUAGUUGGUAAGGUAACGGCUUACCAAGGCGACGAUCAGUAGCCGACCUGAGAGGGUGACCGGCCACAUUGGGACUGAGACACGGCCCAA
rnacentral:rRNA from 1 species